UACGAAGGGGGCUAGCGUUGCUCGGAAUUACUGGGCGUAAAGCGCACGUAGGCGGAUUGUUAAGUCGGGGGUGAAAUCCUGGAGCUCAACUCCAGAACUGCCUUCGAUACUGGCGAUCUCGAGUUCGGGGAGAGGUGAGUGGAACUGCGAGUGUAGAGGUGAAAUUCGUAGAUAUUCGCAAGAACACCAGUGGCGAAGGCGGCUCACUGGCCCGAUACUGACGCUGAGGCACGAAAGCGUGGGGAGCGAACCGG
rnacentral:rRNA from 1 species